UACGUAGGGUGCAAGCGUUAAUCGGAAUUACUGGGCGUAAAGCGUGCGCAGGCGGUUAUGUAAGACAGUUGUGAAAUCCCCGGGCUCAACCUGGGAACUGCAUCUGUGACUGCAUAGCUAGAGUACGGUAGAGGGGGAUGGAAUUCCGCGUGUAGCAGUGAAAUGCGUAGAUAUGCGGAGGAACACCGAUGGCGAAGGCAAUCCC
rnacentral:rRNA from 1 species